CUCGCAGACCGCCUUAUCGCCGUUUCUUCUGAUUGCUAUCAGAAAGAGAGGGAGGAAAGUCCGGACACCACAGAGAAGCAUAGCGGGUAACACCCGUCGGUCUCAUAUCGAUUGGGAUUAGGACAAGUGCAACAGAAAGUAUGUACAGGUAAUGCUGUAGUGAAACCAGGUAAACUCUAUGCGGUGAAAUAUCAAGUAUAUCAGCAUUUAAGGAUUUCUCGUUCGUUGCUGAAGGGUAGAUAGAUGGAUCCCGUUAGUAAUAUCGGGACUAGAUAAAUGAUAAGGUAUUUUUGAAUGUUGAAAAGCAAUUCAAAAAGAACAGAAUCCGGCUUACAGGUCUGCUAUUUUU
rnacentral:RNase_P_RNA from 1 species